rnacentral:lncRNA from 1 species
GAGCCCCGCCCGAGCCGGGCGGAGCGGAGCGCGCGGAGCCUAGACCCGCUGCCGGGCCGGGGCUGGGCCGGAGCGGCGGCGCCUGGAUGCCGGCCCGGGGCUGGGCCGGAGACUGGCGCCCGCCCCGAAGCGACUUUCGGUCCCCGACCCGCUCCGCCUGACCCCUAUGAUGAAGAGGGCGUCCACUGGAGUUCUUGCUGUCGACAUCUUUGACAAGUUCAACUUCACGGGAGCCAGAGUCCCAUGGUUCGACGCCAUUCAUGAAGAAUUCCCCAGGGAGCUGGAGUCCUCCAUCUCCUUCCCAGCCAACUUCUUCAAACCACCUGAAGAAAAAGAAGGCCCCCUGGUAAGGCCAGCCAGCCGGAGGACCACCCCGCAGACCACACGCCCAGGGCCUGGCACCGAGGGGGAGGCCCCGAUCAGCAGGUGAAAGCGACACCCUGAUGACACUGGCUAGUUCACCUUCACUCUGGUCAUCGUUUACUGUACCCCGGGGCAGCUCCCGCCUGAGCCCUAUGACCCCAACCGCCGCAGCCUCUGGCUGCCUCACUGGCCCAUCAUUAAUACGUCGAUGGUGAGCGCACUGGUGUACAGCGAGGGGGCUCCACUUCCGAGACCCCUGGAGAGGCCCGUCCUGGUGGAGUUCACCCUGCUGGAGAUGGAGAAGCGAACCAAGCCUGUCUGUGUGUUCUGGAACCAUUCCCUGGCGUAAAUGUGAUGCCGGGAGUUCUGCAUCUUCAUACCAAGAGCAGUGAUGACCUUUUAGCUGGAAUGGCCAGAGGGGUAACGGUGACUAAUGGUGUUAAAGGGAAGGAAAGCUCCUGCCCAUCUGCAGCACCUUCGGCAUCUGCCCCUGCCAUGACCACUGUGGAGAACAAAUCCAAGAUUAGCACAGGGCACCAACUGGACAGAGGCCUCCGGUCAGCCUCACUCUGACUGCAACCCCCUCUCACUGGACAGCAUCACCUGGACACAGAGCCUCACCUAGUCUGUGUCCCAUGGACACAACUUUGCUUUGGACAGUGACACCAAGAAUACUCACCCCUUUACUUAGCCAGACCACAGGCAGCCACCUGGACACAAACAUCUCUCCAGAGUCAGCCUCCACACAGACUCCACAGCAGAACUCCCAGGGAGGCACUGGGGCAUGGCUUCAGAGCACCAGGCAGCGCUCCGCGGUGCCUAGCACCCGCUCAGCCAGGGCAGCCUGCAGCGGAGCUUGGAGCCAGCAGCUUCUCAUCUCUUGGCCUCGGGAAAUGUAGCUGGAGUCAUCAUUUAGCAGAGCACGGUGUCCCUGGGUUGGCCACCCAGCUUAGUUUUAAAAUAAAAUAAUGUAAUCUUGGCCUAAUGGUGGAA